UGCGAGGGCAUAUCGUCCUCGCUUUUGUGUACCGUAGGGUGGUACANGAACAAGGGCUGGGCAAGACCGGUGCCAGCCGCCGCGGUAAUACCGGCAGCCCGAGUGAUGGCCGAUCUUAUUGGGCCUAAAGCGUCCGUAGCUGGCUGCGCAAGUCCGUCGGGAAAUCCACUCGCCCAACGAGUGGGCGUCCGACGGAAACUGCNCGGCUUGGGACCGGAAGGCUCGAAGGGUACGUCCGGGGUAGGAGUGAAAUCCCNUAAUCCCGCNCGGACCACCGAUGGCGAAAGCACUUCNAGAAAACGGAUCCNACNGUGAGGGACGAAAGCCAGGGUCUCCAACCGGAUU
rnacentral:rRNA from 1 species